AGAGUUUGAUCCUGGCUCAGAUUGAACGCUGGCGGCGUGCCUAACACAUGCAAGUCGAGCGGUAACGCGGGAGCAAUCCUGGCAACGAGCGGCGAACGGGUGAGUAAUGCUUCGGAAUCUACCCAGUAGUGGGGAAUAACCAACCGAAAGGUUGGCUAAUGCCGCAUACGACCUACGGGUGAAAGCAGGGGAUCGUAAGACCUUGCGCUAUUGGAUGAGCCGAAGUCGGAUUAGCUAGUCGGUAGGGUAACGGCCUACCAAGGCGACAAUCCGUAGCUGGUCUGAGAGGACGACCAGCCACACUGGGACUGAGACACGGCCCAGACCCCUACGGGAGGCAGCAGUGGGGAAUAUUGGACAAUGGGGGCAACCCUGAUCCAGCGACGCCGCGUGUGUGAAGAAGGCCUGCGGGUUGUAAAGCACUUUUAGUGGGGAUGAAAAGCUCAGGGCUAAUACCUCUGGGUCUUGACCUAACCCACAGAAAAAGCACCGGCUAACUCUGUGCCAGCAGCCGCGGUAAU
rnacentral:rRNA from 1 species